UUUUUGUAUUUUUUCUGUGUGAUUUUUAUUAUUUGAUGCCAGAAAUUCUGAUUUGACAAAUAUAUUUUUCAGAUAAUCAGUUCUCAACUAAGACAUGGCAUUUAAUUUUUAAAACAUACUUUUGAAAAUAAAAUGUUAUUCAGAGAUAAAAUUCUUCCUUCUUUCUUUCCUUCCUUCCUUCCUUCCUUCCUUCCUUCCUUCCUUCCUUCCUUCUUUCCUUUCUUUCUUCCUCCCUUCCUGCUUUCUUUUCUUUCACCAGGGAUUGAACCAGGGGCACUUAACCACAGACUCAACUGAAAAUUCUUGUACCAAUUUUAUUUUUUUAAAAGAUGCUUUUACAUACGCAAAUGUGUAAUGAGAGGGAGAGAGGGAGAAAGAGAGAGAGAGUCAGAAAUUCACAAGACUCAUUUUAAAAUUAAUUCCAGAAAUGUUAAUACUUAACAGUUUCUUUAGGAUAAUUUCCAGAAGCUUUCAUAUCUUUUUAAAAUCCAUAAUAUUAAAAAGAGAAAUAAAAAUUCCAUAUAACACAUGAAAUGAUAAAACUAAAUUAAUUCAAGUUGCAUUUUCAUGCCUUUCUAAUUAUUGAGAUAGCAUUUUUUAUUUUGAAACAACUAUUUAACAAAGAAAUAAAUCCAAGAUCCCUACAUAAAAAAAGAGAAAAAAAGAAAUCCAAGAUCUUUAGAGAUCUUGGAUUUCUUUCUCUCUCUCUCUCUCUUUUUAAUUUAUGGUAUAUACUGAAUAAUAAUGAAUUUAACCACCUGGCAGAAAUUUUAUGAAGAUAAAUAAGAGAUGAGCUGGAAAUCUGUAAAAUGUUCACAUUUUAACACAUUCUAAUGCACUUUAAGUGUAUUACAACUAUUGAUGAUGCUGUUUCCUAAAAAUUUGAAGAAAAUAUAAAUCAAUUGCUUCAUUAUUAAUAUUAAUAUUGUGGAUAAUAUUAAAACAAAUAAAUUCUACCUUCUGGUGAAAAACUUUUUGGAGAUUAUGGAAAAUUAACUUUGAAAAAAUAAAAUAUGUAUAUUUACAAAAAAUGUAUCAACUAAGAACUAAAAUAGUGAUAAGGAAGUGUGUCGAAGUAUAAUAAUAAUAAUGUUGCAGUCAUUCACAAUUCUCCUCCUCUUUCCUUUCUGAGGGAAAAUUGUUGCUAACACUUUGAUAUAGGGAAAGCUUUUCUGAGAGAUAGUAAGCUUAAAGAUCUAAAACAAGCCCAGAACUGUGGUAUUUCUUUUCUUAGAAAGGAAUAAUAACUUGAUUGUUUAUGUUAUGCCCUGGAAUGAAAUUUACUCUCCCAUAAAUAAGUAUGGGAAAACAAUGCCUCUCUUUCAUACUUUCUACAAAUGAUGCCCCAAAUUCUCACCCUAAGAUACUGUAGAGAGUACCUUUGCUAGAAGGCAGCAUUGUUUAGUGGAAAGGACUGAAGAAGAAUAUAUCAGAUGAACAAUGUUUCGUGUGCUAGCAUUGGAGAACACUAAAGUUAAAAAAAAAAAAGUAAUACUGGC
rnacentral:lncRNA from 1 species